AGGCUGCGCCUUCCUGACCUACUAUAGCCGUGACAGUGCGAUCAGCGCCCAGAACGCUCUGCAUGAGAAGCGGACUCUGCCAGGGGGUGUGACGCAUGGCGACCGGCUGGCCGGGUGACGCCGGCGGCACACCUCCAUAUCUCCAUGUGGCGGCCGUGAGAGACACUACGUCACAUCAUGUAACUAGCCGUCGCGCGGCCGCGUCAACCGAACUGAGCAAGCGCAAGGCUCGCUCGAGUUUUGGUGGUGAGUUGUGUUGUCGCUGCGUUAACGAACUCUUGUGCGGUAAGCAAUGCAUGCG